UGAGAAGUAAUGCCAUCGCAAAAGGGUGUU
rnacentral:piRNA from 1 species